rnacentral:rRNA from 1 species
AACGAACGCUGGCGCCAGGCCUAACACAUGCAAGUCGAGCGAGGACUUCGGUCCUAGCGGCGGACGGGUGAGUAACGCGUGGGAACGUGCCCUUUGCUUCGGAAUAGCCCUGGGAAACUGGGAGUAAUACCGGAUGAGCCCUUUGGGGGAAAGAUUUAUCGGCGAAGGAUCGGCCCGCGUUGGAUUAGGUAGUUGGUGGGGUAAUGGCCUACCAAGCCGACGAUCCAUAGCUGGUUUGAGAGGAUGAUCAGCCACACUGGGACUGAGACACGGCCCAGACUCCUACGGGAGGCAGCAGUGGGGAAUCUUAGACAAUGGGGGAAACCCUGAUCUAGCCAUGCCGCGUGAGCGAUGAAGGCCUUAGGGUUGUAAAGCUCUUUCAGCUGGGAAGAUAAUGACGGUACCAGCAGAAGAAGCCCCGGCUAACUCCGUG